UUUUCUAUAAAAUAUUCAACGUGGUGGUGGUGGUUGGUAAGCUCGAGUCUCCAGCGAGUAAUGGAAAUCAUGGGUCGGUGACCGAUUUAGCGGUGGUGCAUUAUAGUAAUCUGUAUUCGGACAUGGUAGAUAAUUAGGGUAUGGUUCAGCUCCAUGAGAGUUGUGAUGCACGUGGUUACCACCGGCGGCGGCGGUUGAUUGUAGUAGGGAUCAAAGACGG
rnacentral:lncRNA from 1 species